rnacentral:rRNA from 1 species
AUGUUCAGAGUAGGAUCACAUUUUGAAACAAAAGAAACUAUGGAUGUUACCCUUGCCCAACAAAAAUCCCGCACUUUCUAUGGAGACUGGCCCUGUAAGAAUGAAACUACAAAGCAGAGGAAUGGAAAUGGAUACAUGAUGGCCAUCAGCGCCUUGCACCGUGCUGUGCGCUCGACACAGCUACUCUUGUGGGCGCUCUACUUCUUCUUCCAAGCGGGCCAAGAAGCUCCGCGAUGUCUCCUUGCUGAUCCAGUUGCCUCUUCUUCCAAGCGGGCCAAGAAGCUCCGCGAUGUCUCCUUGCUGAUCCAGUUGCCUCUCAAGGGCACACCCAAAUAG